rnacentral:rRNA from 1 species
UACGAAGGGGCUAGCGUUGCUCGGAAUUACUGGGCGUAAAGCGCACGUAGGCGGCUUUCUAAGUCGGGGUGAAAUCCUGGAGCUCAACUCCAGAACUGCCUUCGAUACUGGAGCUUGAGUCGGGAGAGGUGAGUGGAACUGCGAGUGUAGAGGUGAAAUUCGUAGAUAUUCGCAAGAACACCAGUGGCGAAGGCGGCUCACUGGCCCGGUACUGACGCUGAGGUGCGAAAGCGUGGGAGCAA